AGGAAAUCUGUGGAUUGCACAGCUCUUAAUCUCACUGCCAUCUGAAACAAUUGGCUAGGCCUGGCAGGAGGACACUGGGGGUAGAAAUGUCCUGUGGAGCUUUGCCACCCCCAGACCUCACAGAGCUGCAGACUCG
rnacentral:lncRNA from 12 species